GAUCAUGGCUCAGGAUGAACGCUAGCGACAGGCUUAACACAUGCAAGUCGAGGGGCAGCAUGAACUUAGCUUGCUAAGUUUGAUGGCGACCGGCGCACGGGUGAGUAACGCGUAUGCAACUUGCCUAUCAGAGGAGAAUAGCUUAUCGAAAGAUGAAUUAAUGCUCCAUGAAACGGGGGUCCCGCAUGGGAAUAUUUGUUAAAGAUUCAUCGCUG
rnacentral:rRNA from 1 species